ensembl:lncRNA
UGCUGACAAGUAGAAUUUUUCAUAGUAUCUAGAUGUACACUUGGCAGUUACAGGCAAAGCUUAUCUGCUCCCAUCUCAUGUGAUGGGAGGAGGAGGGAGAGAGAGAGUGGGAGAUAGAGAGAGGGAGGAGGAAAAAGUGUUCACCUAUUUAAUUUGAUUAGAGAUUAGAAGAGGAAAAGAGUCACAUUUCCUCCCUGGCACGUCUCUACUUGGCGCACUCUGACACCUGAUUUUAUAAAGAGAUGUCACAGCCAAGCACGGCGGUAAUGCCGGUAAUUACUCUGAACUCAAAUAAAUAAAUAAAUUUGCUUUUCUUUGUGAGAGUCUGACAGGUUUUCCAACAUCCUUGACUGGAAAAAAAAAUGCAGUGCGUGUGCGCAAGUAGGCGUGCACUUUUUUGCGGUUGUUUAUUUGGAUGUGUGUCUUUGUGUGGGUGUGUGCUUGUGUUUACAUAUAGUGAGGCACUUGUAAAGGAGAAACUCAGACAGGAUGAACAUUUUGACAGCUACAGUAUAGCUUGUUUUCUCUUCUCUUCUUCAGUUUUUUUUUUUUUUUUGACUGUGAUAAUCUGCUGAGCCGUGCGCGCUGAAGGCAAACCUCCGUUUGAGACUGAUAAGGUUCGAGAUACAGCUUUGUAAAUAAUAAGGUUAGAGUUUCUGCACAGUUGCUAGUGCCUCGGCUGAUCUCGCUCCUAUUAGUGACAAUUGGCUUUGACCUCACCUGCUCACCCAUGCUGUCGUCACUGAGGGUGUAUCUGCAGCAGCAGGCUAUUAGAUCAUCCACUCUGGUCAUAGAAGGAGACAUCCAGACAAACGUUGCACUGCUGAACCAAAGAAAGUCUGAUGCGUGUUGUCAUGAAAGCUGGCUCUUCGACUUUAGAUGCUCCUCAUCUGCAAAAGCAGUUCCAUAUUUCAUCUUCUAGGGGAAAAAAAACCCCAAGUUUCUCUAAAAAGCUCACAAAAGCAGGCAGACUUUUAGCACAAAACAGGUGGGUAAUGUUGUCACAGUAUAGACGGACAAAUGCAAUUAACCUGCCAUGUUCCAAAUGCGUUA